CUCCUGAGGAGAAAGAAAGAGAGGGAGGGAGAGAAAAAGAGAGAGAGAGAAACAAAAAACCAAAGAGAGAGAAAAAAUGAAUUCAUCUAAAUCAUCUGAAACACAAUGCACAGAGAGAGGAUGCUUCUCUUCCCAAAUGUUCUUAUGGACUGUUGCUGGGAUCCCCAUCCUAUUUCUCAGUGCCUGUUUCAUCACCAGAUGUGUUGUGACAUUUCGCAUCUUUCAAACCUGUGAUGAGAAAAAGUUUCAGCUACCUGAGAAUUUCACAGAGCUCUCCUGCUACAAUUAUGGAUCAGGUAUAAUAGUCCCAAAGGAAUUCCUUUCCUACAAGAAACCUAAAAUGAGAGAGUUUUUUAUUGGACUGUCAGACCAGGUUGUCGAGGGUCAGUGGCAAUGGGUGGACGGCACACCUUUGACAAAGUCUCUGAGCUUCUGGGAUGUAGGGGAGCCCAACAACAUAGCUACCCUGGAGGACUGUGCCACCAUGAGAGACUCUUCAAACCCAAGGCAAAAUUGGAAUGAUGUAACCUGUUUCCUCAAUUAUUUUCGGAUUUGUGAAAUGGUAGGAAUAAAUCCUUUGAACAAAGGAAAAUCUCUUUAAGAACAGAAGGCACAACUCAAAUGUGUAAAGAAGGAAGAGCAAGAACAUGGCCACACCCACCGCCCCACACGAGAAAUUUGUGCGCUGAACUUCAAAGGACUUCAUAAGUAUUUGUUACUCUGAUAUAAA
rnacentral:lncRNA from 10 species